rnacentral:lncRNA from 1 species
GUUUACAUAUAGUUUACUUUAAGAAUGAUUUAAGGCUACAAAUGGAAGCCCAACGCAUUUCUCUCUCUCUGGUUUAUUCAACUCAUGUGGAUCAGGUUCGUGAAUAUAUGGAAAAUGAAAAAGAUAAAGCUCUUUGCAGUCUUAAAGAGGAGCUUAUUUCUGCUCAAGAGGAAAAGAUCAAGGAACUUCAGAAAAUACACCAGUUAGAGCUACAGAAUAUAAAAACAGAAGAAACAGGUGAUGAAGCAAAGCCUUUACAUCUGCUCAUUGGAAAACUUCGAAAGGCAGUGUCUGAAGAAUGUUCUUAUUUUUUACAGACGUUAUGCAAUGUCCUUGGUGAAUAUUAUACUCCUACUUUAAAAUAUGAAGUAAAUGCAGAAGAGAGAGAGAAUUCUUGUGAUUACACUUCUGGAAAUGAAGAUCCAGAAUUGCAAGAUUAUAGAGAUGAAGUUCAAGACUUUCAAGAAAAUAUGCACACUCUUCUCAACAAAGUAACAGAAGAAUACAACAAACUCUUGGUACUUCAAGCACGAUUAAGCAAGAGACUGGUUUAUCUGCUGAUCCGUAUGUUUACAACUGGACAGCGUGGUCAGAGGGGAAAAUGGCACCGGCCAAAGCCAUCAUAACAUCUUCCCCGAUGGGAAGCCUUUUCCUCACCACCCCGGAUGGAGAAGAUGGAAUUUUGUCUACGUCUUCCAUACACUUGGUGGGCUUUUUCAAACUGCUAAGCUUCUUUACCUUUCCUUAAAAUUUCAACCUUCUCUUUUCUUAAUUCUGUAAUUGAGAAUGAUAACACUGAGAGUUAAUAACAGUUACCCUUCUAACUUU